rnacentral:rRNA from 1 species
GAUGAACGCUGGCGGCGUGCCUAACACAUGCACGUCGAGCGAACCCUUCGGGGUGAGCGGCGGACGGGUGAGUAACGCGUGGGUAACCUGCCCUAUACACACGGAUAACGUACCGAAAGGUACGCUAAUACGGGAUAAAGUUGUUGGAUGGCAUCUUCUAACAAUCAAAGCUCUGGCGGUAUAGGAUGGACCCGCGUCUGAUUAGCUAGUUGGUGAGGUAAUGGCUCACCAGGGCGACGAUCAGUAGCCGACCUGAGAGGGGGAUCGGCCACACUGGAACUGAGACACGGUCCAGACUCCUACGGGAGGCAGCAGUGGGGAAUAUUGCACAAUGGGCGAAAGCCUGAUGCAGCAACGCCGCGUGAGCGAUGAAGGUCUUCGGAUCGUAAAGCUCUGUCCUCAAGGAAGAUAAUGACGGUACUUGAGGAGGAAGCCCCGGCUAACUACGUGCCAGCCGCCGCAGUAA